GUACUUGCUUCGGCAGUACAUAUACUAAAAUUGGAAAGAUACAGAGAAGAUUAGCAUGGCCCCUGCGCAAGGAUGAAACGCAAAAUCGUAAAGCGUUCCACAUUUUU
rfam:Stegodyphus mimosarum contig85387, whole genome shotgun sequence.